AUUUCGAUUCUUUAAAUUUGGCAAUGAUUAUUUGUCUCAGUCCUUUUUCCUUGUUUUUCUUCGUACUUCUUUUUCCUUGUUUUUCUUCGUAAGCGUACUGCCUGCCUAUGAUUAUUUUUACGUUUGUAAGGUUCUGAAGUUUUACUGACUCUAGAAGAGUUAUUGAAUGGAUUAUUAUAUAUAAGGAAAAGUAAGAUUUUUGUAGAAAUUAAAAUAAGUGAUCAUGAUUUUAAUUAUUUAAAAUGUUAUAAGGUUUUAAAUGUAGUGUAUAGUUUGGCGUAUAACGCGCAUCUUUAAUGGGAAAAAAAAAAAAAAAAAAAAAAAAAAAAAGA